ACCCGGUCUGCGAUCGAGGAAGCGGAUUGGUUUUUAACUUUCCGCGGGAGGUGGCGGUGCGUGCCAUACCCAAGGAGGAGGACAAUGAAACGGCAAGUAAUGAAUGUUUCCCCCAAUGGAACAGAAGGAGGGAGAAAGACCAUUCCCCUUCCCGUCAAGUCUUGGGGAGGUGUACAAUGUUCCGUGUGAAAAGAAAGGUGGAGGAAGACGGCGUUUCUGAUCCGCCGGAGGUUUUUAUACGGUAACCAAAAAUAUUCCAAUCGAAUCCUGCUGACAACCCAGCGUUUCCGUGUUGUCCCACGGAACGGAAGCUGUAACGAUCG